UACAGAGGUCUCAAGCGUUGUUCGGAUUCAUUGGGCGUAAAGGGUGUGUAGGUGGCGCGCUAAGUCGGGUGUGAAAUUUCGGAGCCUAACUCCGAAACUGCAUUCGAUACUGGCGUGCUUGAGGACUGGAGAGGAGACUGGAAUUUACGGUGUAGCAGUGAAAUGCGUAGAUAUCGAUAAGGAAGACCAGUGGCGAAGGCGGGUCUCUGGACAGUUCCUGACACUGAGACACGAAGGCCAGGGGAGCAAACGGG
rnacentral:rRNA from 1 species